UUAGGGUGCGAGCGUUGUCCGGAAUUAUUGGGCGUAAAGAGCUCGUAGGCGGUUUGUCGCGUCGGCCGUGAAAACUUGGGGCUUAACUCCAAGCUUGCGGUCGAUACGGGCAGACUUGAGUUCGGCAGGGGAGACUGGAAUUCCUGGUGUAGCGGUGAAAUGCGCAGAUAUCAGGAGGAACACCGCUGGCGAAGGCGGGUCUCUGGGCCGACACUGACGCUGAGGAGCGAAAGCGUGGGGAGCGAACAGGAUUAGAUACCCUGGUAGUCCACGCCGUAAACGGUGGGUGCUAGGUGUGGGGGGCUUCCACGCCCUCUGUGCCGCAGCUAACGCAUUAAGCGCCCCGCCUGGGGAGUACGGCCGCAAGGCUA
rnacentral:rRNA from 1 species